AAGAGCCUGUGUUAGAUAUGGUCU
rnacentral:siRNA from 1 species